ensembl:lncRNA
UCUUCUCCUAAAUAUGGGGAGUUCUUCCACCUGUAAGAAGACUUUACAGCGGCUCGACUCUGGCUAGCAGAGAGAAACAAAGGGAACAUUGACGAAGGAAAUAUAUGCAUAGAAGACUAAAUGAAGGAUGUUGCUACAAUGUGUUUAACACAUUAAAUUACGCUAGGCAUGGGAAGCUGUGUGGCAUUUCAGAUGUUAGAUUCCAACUUCCAAGGAUCCUGGACAGUAUAUGCAAUGUUGAGUGAUGAUGGGAAUUAUCAUCCAAAAUAUUGGAGGGGAACAGGCUCAGCAUAUCUGGAUGAAAAAAAUGCCUAUGUGGAUCUGAACAAUGCACCAACCUGUGUUGAAGACGGAAAAGAGAGAAAAGCCUGAUGUAUGUGCCAUCUAUAGGUUGACCACCUACCCUUGAGAAUUUUUUCCAAAUGUGUUAAAAUGUUGUUAGGGUCUAUUGGUUGAAAACAUGGUUGAAAAACCUGUGACUCUCCAGAAAAGAGGGUGAGGGCUCCAGCUGUUAUCAGCCACAGUGAACAUUCCUAUUUGACAGCAACAUUCUCAAGCAAGAAUUUUGCACACACAAAAAAUGCCUUCUGUUUUGCAUUAGAACCUUAUAGCAUGUGCAAAAUGCAAGGUUUUCUGCACCAGGUACAGAUUUUUGUACACAAAAAAAGACUUCCACAAUCCUUUUUCAUUUGCAUGGUAACUGCCAUUGAGGAAGAAUGCCAACAAAGUCACUCGAAUGGGAGAUGUGUGUAUAACUUAAGGUGAAGAAUUUCUUGAUUUCUGGCUCCUCUCGGGCACUCAAGCAGGAAAACAUUGCAACAUUCCUUUUAUCAAGUCACUUUUCUUUCUGACCUUGAUUUUGCAGUGCAAACUUUGUGUUCAUGUCAAAUGUUAACAAAGGUAAAAAGAUUGGUGCAUUUACCCACUGCUACACAUGUUGUUCACCCUCUCUUUGUGAGUUCAACCUGUCAUCCCACUUGUGAUCUGUGAUAUGCCCACACGAGGAAGUGCGAAUCAUUCAUUUUGAUGGCGUUUAGGCGAGUUUUUGUUCAAUAUUUUCCUACUGUGGCUCAGGAAUGCGUGCAGGAUUCAUUUCUCACUAGACAUAUUGUGAAAUGCAUAACAGUUCCUGCAAGGGAACUUGGAGACUAGUGACAAUGUAUUUGAGGCUUCAGCUCAUGUCCAGAACCUCAUAACACAAUUUUCUGGGGGAUGGUGAAUGAGCUGAUUUUGUCGUUCAUAAUUUGCUCAUUGCAUUAUGACUACAGUGCUUUAUAUUUAUAGAAAGGUUUGCUGCUAUUUUGCUACAUGAUCCUUGUGUAUUUGCAUAUGGGUUUUAGGAAAUGCAUCAUAGGAGUGAGACAUGGUUAAUAGGAUGGUGUGUCCCGCCUUAUGCAUGCCAUGAUACAUCGAUCUCUUACACACUCUUAACAUCUGUACAUUGUACAUAUAAUCCACAUGUGACCAUGCAAUAAGAUGGCAGAGGCUGAAUGCAGAGCACAAUGGUGCACAAAAUCUAAAUUAAUCUAUAAACAAUCUCCAUUUCAAUUAAGAAAUGAAUAUUACAAUUGGUUGAAACUAGUCUAGGCUAGCUAUGUAUUCAAGGUUUAGAUAUGAUUUAAUAAAUUCUAUUGUCACUGCUAUCUCA